rnacentral:rRNA from 1 species
ACGAACGCUGGCGGCGUGCUUAACACCUGCAAGUCGCACGGAAAGGCCCUGCUUUUGUGGGGUGCUCGAGUGGCGAACGGGUGAGUAACACGUGAGUAACCUGCCCUUGACUUUUGGAUAACUUCAGGAAACUGGGGCUAAUACCGGAUAGGAGCUCCUUCUGCAUGGUGGGGGUUGGAAAGUUUCGGCGGUUGGGGAUGGACUCGCGGCUUAUCAGCUUGUUGGUGGGGUAGUGUCUUACCAAGGCUUUGACGGGUAGCCGGCCUGAGAGGGUGACCGGCGACAUGGGGACUGAGAUACGGCCCAGACUCCUACGGGAGGCAGCAGUGGGGAAUAUUGCACAAUGGGCGGAAGCCUGAUGCAGCAACGCCGCGUGCGGGAUGACGGCCUUCGGGUUGUAAACCGCUUUCGCCUGUGACGAAGCGUGAGUGACGGUAAUGGGUAAAGAAGCACCGGCUAACUACGUG